rnacentral:rRNA from 1 species
GCCCCAGACUCCUACGGGAGGCAGCAGUGGGGAAUAUUGCACAAUGGGGGAAACCCUGAUGCAGCAACGCCGCGUGAGUGAAGAAGGUUUUCGGAUUGUAAGGCUCUGUUAGCAGGGAAGAGGAAGGACGGUACCUGCAGAGGAAGCCACGGCUAACUACGUGCCAGCAGCCGCGGUAAUACGUAGGGGGCAAGCGUUAUCCGGAAUUACUGGGUGUAAAGGGAGCGUAGACGGUGAUGCAAGUCUGGAGUGAAAGGCGGGGGCCCAACCCCCGGACUGCUCUGGAAACUGUGUAACUUGAGUGCAGGAGAGGUAAGCGGAAUUCCUAGUGUAGCGGUGAAAUGCGUAGAUAUUAGGAGGAACACCAGUGGCGAAGGCGGCUUACUGGACUGUAACUGACGUUGAGGCUCGAAAGCGUGGGGAGCAAACAGGAUUAGAUACCCGAGUAA